rnacentral:rRNA from 1 species
UACGUAGGGUGCAAGCGUUAAUCGGAAUUACUGGGCGUAAAGCGUGCGCAGGCGGUUAUGUAAGACAGAUGUGAAAUCCCCGGGCUCAACCUGGGAACUGCAUCUGUGACUGUAUAGCUAGAGUACGGUAGAGGGGGAUGGAAUUCCGCGUGUAGCAGUGAAAUGCGUAGAUAUGCGGAGGAACACCGAUGGCGAAGGCAAUCCCCUGGACCUGUACUGACGCUCAUGCACGAAAGCGUGGGGAGCAAACAGG